rnacentral:rRNA from 1 species
AGUGAACGCUGGCGGUAGGCCUAACACAUGCAAGUCGAACGGCAGCACAGUAAGAGCUUGCUCUUACGGGUGGCGAGUGGCGGACGGGUGAGGAAUACAUCGGAAUCUACUUUUUCGCGGGGGAUAACGUAGGGAAACUUACGCUAAUACCGCAUACGACCUACGGGUGGAAGCAGGGGAUCUUCGGACCUUGCGCGAUUGAAUGAGCCGAUGUCGGAUUAGCUAGUUGGCGGGGUAAAGGCCCACCAAGGCGACGAUCCGUAGCUGGUCUGAGAGGAUGAUCAGCCACACUGGAACUGAGACACGGUCCAGACUCCUACGGGAGGCAGCAGUGGGGAAUAUUGGACAAUGGGCGCAAGCCUGAUCCAGCCAUACCGCGUGGGUGAAGAAGGCCUUCGGGUUGUAAAGCCCUUUUGUUGGGAAAGAAAAGCAGCAGGUUAAUACCCCGCUGUUCUGACGGUACCCAAAGAAUAAGCACCGGCUAACUUCGUG